UCCUAAGGACAGGAAAAGAAACAGUUUCUCUGCUCUUAUAUCUCCGGCUGUUUCUCUGAAUAUUUCUCAUAUCUCUAAUUAUUCUUGUUUUUCUUAUUUUGGGCGCCAGACCCCUCCUCGGGGUUUCUAGUGCCAAGUGAAGAUUUGUCCCUGCCGUAGUUUGUUGUUGCUGGAAGAUUAAAGUUUCUCAUGAGCAAAAACGCAGGAAAUGCACAGCAGAUAUGGUAUUAAUAACUAUGACUCACAAAAUAAAUUACAAAAUGCCUGUAAAAUUUGUUUCAAAGAAAGGCCCUUUACCCCACAGGGUAUACACGCAUACGAACACACACACGCAUAUAAUACUGUGUAUUAUGAAUAUACACUCAGUGAAAAUGAUGUAUCUUUUGUGGUGGCAGUAAGGGAAUUAGGGUGCUGCCCACCAGGGGGCAGCGCUGACCCUGCAGACAGGUACGGCUGCAGCUGUGGUUCAUUGCAAUCACGUCAGCUGUGGCCCAUUACCUAAUCAUGGGCUCUAUAAAAGGCCUGGCUCACAGACCUGGAGGAGGUGUUUGGGAGCUGGGGAAUGCAUGGGGUGUGGUAGUUUUUGGGGUUUUGGUUUCGUUUUUGUUUUUGUUUUCUUUGUAGUUUUGGUUGCCAGUUUGACCAUUGGUUUUGUUCCUGAAGAUUUCUCUUGUUUUGGGACCAAUAAAAGGCUACGUCUACUCGUUCUUUCAGAUAUUGCAAAAGUCUCCACCAUCCCUCCACUGAAGGCUCUGGCUCUCUCAGAUAUUUUGAAAACUUUUGGAAUCCUCUCAUGGCAACCCUGACUGACUCCAAUAUGUACAGCACCAGCCCCUCUCCUGGAGCCCCUCUCCUGCAGGAACCCUCCCCAGCACCAGCCCCUCUCCUGGAGCCCCUCUUCUGGAGGAACACUCCCCAGCCCCAGCCCCUCUCCUGGAGGAACCCUCCCCAGCACCAGCCCCUCUCCUGGAGGAACCCUCCCUAGCCCCAGCCCCUCUCCUGGAGGAACACUCCCCAGCACCAGCCCCUCUCCUGGAGGAACCCUCCCUGCCCCAGCCCCUCUCUGGAGGAACACUCCCCAGCACCAGCCCCUCUCCUGGAGGAACCCUCCCUAGCCCCAGCCCCUCUCCUGGAGCCCCUCUCCUGGAGGAACACUCCCCAGCACCAGCCCCUCUCCUGGAGGAACACUCCCCAGCCCCAGCCCCUCUCCUGGAGGAACCCUCCCAGAGUUAAACGCCCUUCUGAGCCCAGCCGCGCAGAACGUGCAGGCACAGAACCGGCCGCUCUGAUCGGCUCCAUGGGUGAAGUCCCAGGCCCAGAAUCGACAAACGUCCUGAGCCAAAUUCACCCUGCACUUCCUAUUAAACAGUGCGAUGAGUUCACCUUGGGCUUCGCCAGAUUCACGAAGCUCCAUUUUAUGAAGACUAAGACUCAGGGCCAGAUUUACUAGAACAUUGCGGCUGCUUUUUUCAAACUCAAAAGUAGUUCCUGCAAGGUCACAGAAUCUACAUCACAUUUUCUGCACGCUGCAGUGUCACUGCUGUUUGGCUGUUCGCAGAGUGAUUUUCUCUGUCUCUUUCUGAAACGGCUCAUUUCUUCCUCCUCAGCUUCAAUCUCACCAGCACUUAUCAGCCGCUGUAAAAAUACUCGAUUCCUUAUUUUCAUUCAGGAAGAAUCUUUUUCCAUGAAGUGCACAGCUUUCCACUUCCAAUCAUCGGGCUUUUUGGGUAACUGCGUUGUUGAGACGUGGUGCCGUUGACCCAUAAGUGUCCGAAAAAGGCGGAUGAAGGCGGUGAAGUGCGUGGAUAGGGAGCUGCUCUGGCCAAUCACGCGUGGAGGGAGAGGCACUGCUAUUGGCUCCUAAAUUGCUUUUGCAAAUAUACAGCUAGAUCCAGAUAUGUACAGAUAUAACUUCAAAAAUGUAAGCUAGGUAGGUCUGUAUAAGGUAUAAGGUCUUCAAAUUAAAUAAACAAAAAAAAAAACCUGAGUCAGUGUUUGUUCAUAAAGCUCUGAGGUACUGAGUCGGUGUUUAUUCAUAAAGCUCUGAGUCAGUAUUUGUUCAUAAAGCUCUGAGGCACUGAGUCUGUGUUUGUUCUUAAAGCUCUGGAGCUUUGUGCAGCACCUGUGAGCUGUUCCUAGGCCCUGGCUCGUUUCCUGCAGUGAGAGUGCAUCCCCAUGCAGAGCACAUUUCUAAUCAUUCUGAAUUCCUCUUAACAUCCGAGCAAGAAUCUGAGCACACGUUUUUAAUCAUGCUAUACGGAAUUAAACCAAAUAAUAUAAUUUAGCAUUUUAGUAUUAAAAAAACAACGCAUAAAUAUGAAAAGGUAUAAUUAUGAAUAAUUUUGAUUUAAUUUAUGAGCCUUACAGGCUUACAAAGUAAGGCUUACAAACUUCUGAAAAACACCAUGUGACCAAAAUGAAUUAAAUGAAUCAGUGUGUGCUGUGAUUGUUUCUCUUAUUUGGAAUUAGGAAUUUUGCCUGUCAGUCACUUUUUAUGUGCUGCCUUCCAUUAAAAAUCUGUAUUUAUAAGAUUUUUAUAUUAAUUAUGAAAUUACAUUUUUAUAACACCUUCCAUCUCUCAAAAUCAAAAAAGAAAGGAGAGAAAAAAAACGCAAAUGUUUUUAUUCUCUACAGAGAACUAAAAAAAAUAAAAUAAGGGAUUAUGAGUGCGUGUGUUUAGAUUUUAAAAUGUCUGGACAGCCGCAGAGGGCUGUUGAGAUCCGGAAGAUUCUCUCAGCGCUGGAGUAAACACACAGGUGGGAAUCGGCCAAGUUGAGAUCCGGAAGCUUCUCUCAGUGCUGGAGUAAACACACAGGUGGGAAUCGGCCAUGUUGAGGUCCGGAAGCUUCUCUCAGCGCUGGAGUAAACACACAGGUGGGAAUUGGCCAUGUUGGCAUGCAGCUUUAAUGCUCCUGACUUGCUACACUGCUCUUUUCCCUUCAGGGUCAACCUUUCUCCUGCCUGUGGAUGCAGCUCUUUAAAUAUAUAUUAUAUAUUUUAUAUUACACUGCUUUUAAAAUGGAGCAGUGGGUGCAGUCAUUACAAUAUAGCACAAUAAGCUCUUAAGUUGUUAUUAAAAACAAAUAUUAAAACUGUUAUUAAGCUGUUAUUUAAACACUCCACAUUAUGAUUUUAUUGCUGUUUUU